GAAACACUCAGGAAGGGCAAGGAUCCCUCAGGAUCCCCAGCAGGAAGCUGUAACUGUCCACCGCUCUGUUCUCUGCUCAGCCUGGAUGCUUUGAGGUUUCACAGUAAACCGAUCCCUGACUUAGAAGAGUGGAGAGAUGUGUAAAGAAUAAAAAACAUAGCUGCAGACCUCUCUCGUGAUGCUGGAGCUGAGAGCUCUUCAUCCUGUGGAUGCUCAGUGACCCCAGUAAGACCCGUAUUACGCAGCUUCCUUCCUGCAUUCAGUUCAAAUGCGCAUGUCCUUUCGCUACUCAGCAUCGGUCUGAUACAGCACAGACUGACUGCUUUCAACUCACAGACACUUGCCUCAUUUUGUAUCCAAUUUUGCUUUCCAAAAGCCCAGCUACGACUUUAUUUUUUAAAUGAAAUUUUGCAGGUCAUUAGCCCAUAAUGAUUGAACGAUUCUGGUUGUUAGCAUAAAACACAGCUGUAUACACA
rnacentral:lncRNA from 1 species